rnacentral:rRNA from 1 species
CUUAACACAUGCAAGUCGAACGAUUAAAGCACCUUCGGGUGUGUAUAAAGUGGCGAACGGCUGAGUAACACGUGGGCAACCUGCCCCUCUCAUUGGGAUAGCCACGGGAAACCGUGGAUAAUACCGAAUACUUCGAGUCUCCCGCAUGGAAGACUCGAGAAAGCUCCGGCGGAGAGGGAUGGGCCCGCGGCCUGUUAGCUUGUUGGUGGGGUAACGGCCUACCAAGGCAAUGAUGGGUAGCUGGGUUGAGAGACCGACCAGCCAGAUUGGGACUGAGACACGGCCCAGACUCCUACGGGAGGCAGCAGUGGGGAAUCUUGCACAAUGGGCGAAAGCCUGAUGCAGCGACGCCGCGUGCGGGAUGAAGGCCUUCGGGUUGUAAACCGCUUUCAGCAGGGACGAGGCGAAAGUGACGGUACCUGCAGAAGAAGCCCCGGCUAACUACGUGCCAGCAGCCGCGGU